rnacentral:ncRNA from 1 species
GCCACCUCGAUCCCAACUGCUAGCUCCAACGCAUCGCUUCGAAUCCAGCCGCUCAAGCAACUGCCGAGAUAAUAUGAUUUCAACUUGAUUAUGUUCUGCUCCGACAUUGAUGCCAAAAGAUCAAGAACAAACGAGCUUAGAUCAAUAUAGGUGUGUUCCAUUACAGCAAAUCAGAUGGCAACGAUGUUUUGUACUGGUCCGAAGCGAACCUCAUUGACUCUGGGCACUGAGAAGCUUGUGGCGAGUGAUCCCUGUACCAAAAAAAGAAUGCGUCACUACUCAACGAAUCAACGAAACGGUGCCAGGGUGCGACUCACUUCACAACUCGGCUAUUUCACCGUGAAGACGUCUACCAAAAAAGUUGAUUUCGAAGAAGUUCAAUCUAGUGUACAGUGUGAUAUAUGAAAGUAUACGUUACUGCGCAUAUUGAUUGGAACAACUUUAGUCGAUCACGCUUUAAAGGUUGUUAAUAAAGCUAUAAAACGCAGUCUGCACAUUGGGGCUAGAAUCUGAAAUAUUAGGAUAAGUGUACUUGGUUUAGUGCACUUUCUCAGUUUCAGUUCGGAUAUUAAGACUACUGUGCAUGACUUAGUGUACUUUUUCAAUUUCGACCCAGCACAUCUUUAGAUUUACAACUUACAUUUACAACAUACAUGCGAACAAACUACAUGAGUGAAAUUACCACCUCCUGAAAUUCGCCAAAGUUUGGGUAGAAUCAGGUGCAACAUCUCCCUAAUUAUUUCUUGUUGGCUUCAAGAAAAUAAUUCUCUUGCAAGUAAAUAGUCACUCAUGUAGUGUAAUUUAGUGCAAGCAUUUGAAGUGAAAGGUGGUGUGGUAUUCAAGCGGUUCAAUAAGCUUUUCUAAAACUGUCAUCAUACUUAGAAUAGGCGUGUCCAAUGUUCUGCCAUAUCUAGGGCAGAAGCGGCUGACCUGCAGUUGGUGAGGAACACACUAGCACUUGCUAUCUGAUCUCAAAUAAUUGAGUAAAAAAUCUGCUGAGAAGGGGAGCAUGUAGUCUAGUCUCUAGAUGCUGCAAAUAUCCUUUAUCUCUGGAGAAGAUGAUGUUGAAAACGAGAAGGGCGAAAUCAUUUACAAAAAGAAAAUAAGCAAACGGGGCCAGAAUUAUUACUAAGUAGGUGUGGUAAAAGAGAGUACUUUAGUCUUAAAUACAAAUAGGAUAGACAGCAGGACGGUGGACAUGGAAGUCCGUACGCGCUAACAAGUGUGUAAAAACUUACCUGCCGAGUCAACUAGCCUUGAAAAUGGAAGGAGACGCUUGAACGAGAAACCUACACCCAACCGAACUGGCUAGGGCUUUGGGUGUACGCACAGCUGGAGCUUCCGUCAGUGCAGAUCUCGGUGGUAGCAGUAAUUAUUUAAGUUCAAUCCUUGAAGACUGAAGUGGAGAAGGGGUCCAUGUGAACAGUAGUUGAAUGUGGCCAGUCGAUCCUAAGACACUGGUCUACACCUUCUAUCAUUAAGAGAGGAAAGUUUCUUUUCUCUUGGGCAUCAAAAGGGAAUAGGGUGACAAUUCUCUACCGCAUAUAGAAAAAGAUUGCGGCUCUUUGAGUCUCUUACGCGGUAACGCAUUCGAGUUUGGUUGAAUUUUGUUACUUCACUCGGAGAUUAGUUGAGCAUAACAGAGUUAUCUUCUCUAGCUAAGGAACGGACUCCCUGGAAUUGGUUCAGCCGUAGAUAGGGACAUUGUUACCGUAAAGCAUCGCGAUUUCUGUGAUAUCUCGUAACCUAUGGUCUGCCCUUGAAAAACCAAGGAAAUCCAAUAAUCUGUGCUGCAUCGUACCGAUAUCCGCAUCAGGUCUCCAAGGUGAACAACCUUUAGUCGAAAGAACAAUGUAGGUAAGGCAAUUCUGCAAAUAAGAUCCAUAACUUCGAGAAAAAGAUUGGCUCCAGUGAACUGAUCGGUUGACCUGUUAACUGAUGCGGUUUCGCUCGUGGCUGGACUAGUGACAAGAUUGCCUUGUUGAGGUUUUCAGGUGUGUGCUUUGUCUUCGGGCUUAUUAUCCUGACCGACCAUCAAAUGGUCGAACUGGAACUGAUAAGGACUGGGGGAAUCCGACUGUCUAAUUAAAACAGAGGAGGCAGGUGGUUCUAGCGGGCGUUUACUCUCUCCAAUUUCUGCUGAGUGUCCUGAAUGUUGAAUAGUAGUAAUUCGAGUGAACGUGGGUAAACGGCGCGAGUAACUGUGACUCUCUUAAGGUAGCGAAAUGCCUCGUUAGCUAACUACUGAUGCGCAUGAACGAAACCAACCCUGUGUAAUGAGAUGAUUGUGGUGGAAAGAGUAUGCUCUCGUGUAGUUUAUCCGCACCUUUUCUGUAUGGUCGUACAAUAGUUGAUUUACCUUAUAAUAGCUCUGGAUAUGCUUAUAACCAUUAAACAUUAACGAGAAAGUACUGUCCCUAACUACUGUCUAGCGAAACCAUAGUCAAGGAAGUGGAAAAAAAGAGCGAGAAAAGAAGACGCUGUUGACUUUGACUCUACUUUGACAUUCUUAAGAGUCAUGAGAGGUGAAGCAUAGCAAGGAGACUUCGGCCUCCAAUGAAAUAUCGCCACUUUCAUCGAUUCUUUACUUAUCCGGUGAGAAGAGAAUUGUAUUUUGGCUGUUUUCCAUCUUUGUGUUAAACAUAUCUCAUUAAUGACACUAUCGUCAUGCGGGGAGUUUGACUGGGGCGGUACAUCUGUUAAAUCGUAAGAAGGUGUCCUAACUGUCCUCAGAGAGGACGGAAACCACUCGUAAAGCGAAAGGACAAAAGCUCGGUUGAGCUUGACUUUCAGUACGAGUACAUACCGCGAUACGUGGCCUAUCGAUCCUUUUAAUUCAGAACGUUUCUAGUAAAAGGUGUCAGAAAAACUAGGACAGGGAUAAUUUGGUUGUGGCAGCCAAGCAUCCGUUUUAGCGACGUUGCUUUUUAACCCUUUUUGAUGUCAGCUCUUCUUAUCAUUGUGAAGCAGAAUUCGCAAACAUUGCAUUGUUCAUCCUAUAAUAGGGAAUAUGUGCGGAGUUUAGACCGCCGUAAGACAGGUUAGUCUACCUUGCUGUUGAAUAAUUGCUGCGAAAGUAGUCGUGCUUAGUGAGAGAGGAAUAGCGGGUUCAGACAUUUGGUUCAUGGACUUGACCAAUCGGUCAGGGGUCCAAAACUAACACCUGUGGAUUAUGACUGAACGCCUCUAAGUCAGAAUUCGAACU